GUCCAUUUGGCGAUAUAAAUGGUCUGGCCUGCUCACUGAUAAAUAUAUUUAAGAGCCGCGGUAUUUUGACCGUGCAAAGGUAGCAUAAUCAUUAGGGGUUUAAUUGGAACCUGGUAUGAAGGGUUGGACAAAGGAAAAGCUGUCUUUAUUUUAUAAAUUGAAGUUUACUUUUAAGUGAAAAGGCUUAAAUAAAUCAAAGGGACGAUAAGACCCUAUAAAGCUUUAUAAAUUAUUUGAGUUUAGUUGAUUUAAAAUGUAAGAAUUAAAUUUAUAUUGUUUUAUUUUGUUGGGGCGACAUGCGUAUAAUUUUUAUUAACUGCUUAAAAGGAAUACAGAUUUAAAUGAGUAUUAAAUUAAAUGAUCCUUUUUAAAGAUUAAAAGACUAAGUUACUUUAGGGAUAACAGCGUUAUUUCUUUUGAGAGUUCAUAUCGAAAAAGAAGAUUGCGACCUCGAUGUUGAAUUAAAAUAUCUAUAUAAUGCAGCCGUUAUAAAAGAAGGUCUGUUCGACCUUUAAAUUUUU
rnacentral:rRNA from 1 species